rnacentral:rRNA from 1 species
UACGAAGGGGGCUAGCGUUGUUCGGAAUCACUGGGCGUAAAGGGCGCGUAGGCGGCCGAUCAAGUCGGGGGUGAAAGCCUGUGGCUCAACCACAGAAUUGCCUUCGAUACUGUUUGGCUUGAGACCGGAAGAGGUUAGUGGAACUGCGAGUGUAGCGGUGAAAUGCGUAGAUAUCAGAAGGAACAUCAGUGGCGAAAGCGGCUUCCUGGUCCAGUACCGACGUUCAGGCACGAAAGCGUGGGGAGCAAACAGG